rnacentral:rRNA from 1 species
CCUACGGGGUGCAGCAGUGAGGAAUAUUGGUCAAUGGACGAGAGUCUGAACCAGCCAAGUAGCGUGAAGGAUGACUGCCCUAUGGGUUGUAAACUUCUUUUAUAUGGGAAUAAAAUGUUCCACGUGUGGGAUUUUGUAUGUACCAUAUGAAUAAGGAUCGGCUAACUCCGUGCCAGCAGCCGCGGUAAUACGGAGGAUCCGAGCGUUAUCCGGAUUUAUUGGGUUUAAAGGGAGCGUAGGUGGAUUGUUAAGUCAGUUGUGAAAGUUUGCGGCUCAACCGUAAAAUUGCAGUUGAAACUGGGAGUCUUGAGUACAGUAGAGGUAGGCGGAAUUCGUGGUGUAGCGGUGAAAUGCUUAGAUAUCACGAAGAACUCCGAUUGCGAAGGCAGCUCACUGGACUGCAACUGACACUGAGGCUCGAAAGUGUGGGUAUCAAACAGGAUUAGAUACCCGAGUAGUC